CAGGCCUAACACAUGCAAGUCGAACGAGACCUUCGGGUCUAGUGGCGCACGGGUGCGUAACGCGUGGGAAUCUGCCCUGGGGUACGGAAUAACUCAGAGAAAUUUGAGCUAAUACCGUAUGAUGACGUAAGUCCAAAGAUUUAUCGCCCUGGGAUGAGCCCGCGUAGGAUUAGCUAGUUGGUGGGGUAAAGGCCUACCAAGGCGACGAUCCUUAGCUGGUCUGAGAGGAUGAUCAGCCACACUGGGACUGAGACACGGCCCAGACUCCUACGGGAGGCAGCAGUGGGGAAUAUUGGACAAUGGGCGAAAGCCUGAUCCAGCCAUGCCGCGUGAGUGAUGAAGGCCUUAGGGUUGUAAAGCUCUCUUGUCCGGGAAGAUAAUGACUGUACCGGAAGAAUAAGCCCCGGCUAACUUCGUGCCAGCAGCCGCGGUAAU
rnacentral:rRNA from 1 species